AUUAGAUUGUUAUUGAUGUAUUGAGUAAUGCAUGUACAUGGGAAGAGACUGCAAUAACUUGUAUGAAUAAAUUGCUUCCCACUUAAAUCAAAUCUAACCUGGACUUGCUCAUGAAAUACAUAGCAUUUUGUUUAAGUAGCCAUCAGUCCGGUUCCGAUUUCUGAAACUAAGAGCCUUAAAUUCAACUGGAACCAGACUUCUGAAACCAUUACAACACAGGCCUGUUUGUUCGAAACAAUUUCUAUUCAAAAUGAUUUCGACAUAGUUCCUGUUUCAAACUACCAAUUCGAACCGGCUGGCAUGGGCUCGUUGAAGGGGGCCUGAACCAACCCCCUAGCCCUGGUUCAGAGCUUGUUUAACGACUGAGAUUGUUGACCCCAGCUGAUUCGGUUGGCUCAGGGCCAAACCAACCUUUGGCCGAGUUUAUUACAGUCUAUCCGAUUCCAGCUCUAUCAUAUCUGAGUCCAUUAAAUUAUUGUUUUUUUUUAAUUUUUAAAGAAAAAAAAUGCUAGUUCAAACUAGACCGAAUCAGUGAAUUACAGUCCAUUUCAAGAGGAGAAAAAAAAUGGAUUGAUUCUCAUUCGAACCGUAGAGCUAUUGUCCAGAUUAGACCGAUUUGGUUCUGAUCUAAUUUUGGAUUUGAAUCAAACCCUGGCCAGUUCUAGUGAUAAGCAUUAAGCAAUACCAAUAAUAAAAUAAAAUAAAAUAA
rnacentral:misc_RNA from 1 species